rnacentral:lncRNA from 1 species
AUGGAUCCCUGGUGUAGUAACCUUUACUGUGUACUUAGAAUAAAUGAUAGGCAUGUAAUCUCAGAAUCUGUGAAUUUUUUUUUUCUUUCUUCUCAUAGAUUACUACUACACUCUUGCUAUAUGAGUAGCCUGUCCACACUGCUAUAUUGUGUUUGCUGUAAGGUGCUACUGACCCAGCAGCUGCAACACACUACACCAGUCCAAAAGGGAGAUAGAAGCUGCUGCACUUUUUCCCUGGAGAAAAAUGAUGGUUACUCAAAGAGAGUCCAGAAGUCAUCUUUGGUGUCUGGAUGCUGUCUCUGCUUCAGAGUCUCUCUGCCACAGAAUGAGCAUCCAUGCAGUCCCCUUCCUCAGCUGCUGCCUGUGACAUGAAGGAGAACAUGUGGAUGACACAAAGCAUCCAAAAGCCUUGACCCAACAGGCUGAUCCACUGCUAACAUGGAGCAGUGUAGCUGCAUAUUUGUGCGCUCUGAGGAGUUGGCCCCAAAGGUGACAAACUCACUUAGGAAUUAGUUGUGUAUUCUGUGACUGAUAAUACCAGUUUAAACAGGAAUGUGUAGUCUAGCAUAGCAGUUUAAAGUUGUAUAAACUGACUGUGACAUUGGUGCCUCUCCCAUAAGAAUUACAAGCUCUGUUCAUACAAAUUAGGGUUCUUAGAAGAAUAAGGUGAGGAAGCU